GCCGGGCGUGGUGGUGGGCGCCUGUAAUCCCAGCUACUCAGGAGGCUGAGAUAGGAGAAUUGCUUGAACCCAGGAGGCAGAGGUUGCAGUGAGCCAAGAUCAUGCUACUGCACUUCAGCCUGGGUGACAGAGUGAGACUUUGUCUCUG
ensembl:misc_RNA Metazoa_SRP Metazoan signal recognition particle RNA